rnacentral:lncRNA from 1 species
ACAGUAUGGCUCAAAAGGAACGGGAAAAUUUCUACCGAAUUUCAACUGUUAUAGUCGACCACGGACAGGAAUCGUUGUCAGCAGUUCUUGAAAAUGAUUUAUCAAACACAAAUUUGACCUUUGAAGAUUUCAUCAACAGACAUCAUCAUGAAAUCUAUCAUCUUUGCUACAAUAGAUUCCACUGCUGCCAAUGUACGCCUGGUUUUGUACCAGCAAAUAAAAGUAGGAUUUUGUAUCCAGACCAACUGGAUAUAUUGCUGGACAAAGGCGGGUCAACCCUGAACGGACACAAUCCAAAUACACCUCGAACGUCUCAAUAUUGUUGUCGUCCUGCAAAACAAUCUUUGUCGACUUCAAACUUAGAUAUAACCUUACUUCGCUGCUUAAUAAUGAACUUUGCCCAAAACGUUCGAACAAAUUCUAUUCUUAGGCAAGAUGUAGAAGGUUUAGUUAGAUGCAGAAACACACUGUAUGCCCA